GCCACACAAGGUAUCUUGCCGUUU
rnacentral:siRNA from 1 species